ACGUAGUUUGACUCCGUGGCUCAGAGACGACGCUAGCGGCAGGCUUAACACAUGCAAGUCGCACGGAGUACUUCGGUACUCAGUGGCGAACGGGUGAGUAACACGUAGGUCACGUACCUUGAGGUGGGGAACUAACCCAGGGAAACCUGGGCUAAUACCGCAUACGUCCUUCGGGAUGAAAGUCUUCGGACGCCUUGAGAUCGGCCUGCGGCCCAUUAUUUAAUCCUUGUUGGUGGGGUAACGGCCUACCAAGGGUACGAUGGGUAGCUGGUCUGAGGGGACGAUCAGCCACACUGGGACUGAGACACGGCCCAGACUCCUACGGGAGGCAGCAGUGGGGAAUAUUGCGCAAUGGGGGAAACCCUGACGCAGCCAUGCCGCGUGAGUGAUGAAGGCCCUCGGGUCGUAAAACUCUGUCGGGAGGGACGAAGGCUUCGGCUUGACGGUACCUCCCAAGAAAGCACCGGCUAACUCCGUG
rnacentral:rRNA from 1 species